rnacentral:lncRNA from 1 species
AGGAACGAGGAGGUGCUGCUGUCGGUGGAAGCAGAGGCCGGGAGGAGCCCAGGGGCGGGGAGGCGUCCAUGUCCUCUGGGGGGUGGGGGGGGUCAGAGGAGACCCUGGGGUCAGAGAAGACCCUGGGGAGGCCCGCUGGAAUCACCUCCAGAAGAAGAGGCCUCCCCCAGGGCCUUCAGUGACCGACCUCAGGGCCUCCGCGUGUCCUGUCCUUGGCUGAGGCCCGGCUUCCGCGCACUCGAAGACCAAGCUGCAUUUCUAGUCCCCAAGUCCCUGAAGAGAUGUGAGGACAAUUGGUGCCGGCCUCCUGGGGAGUCAGACCGGGCUGCUGAGGGCUGGGCUCCCGGAAUAAACCACCCACACUGCGUACUCCUCAGCCAAGCUCCGUCAGCUGCUUGACGCAAAGGCGGUGCGCACGCACUGAGAGAAAACCAGAGAAUAGAAAAGCUGCGGAGCUGGAGGAAGAAGACUGCCAGGCGGUGCCAGCAGCACUUGGCUGAACAUCCUUCCAAAGCUCUUCUGGGAUUCGGGGCAGCUACAAAUGUGAACAGCCACCUGCCACACCUCAGGAUGGAGGCCGACAGGGUCCACGGAGGAGCUGCCCCGGAGACCACCUAGAGGGUGCCCGUAUCUCUGGUCCGAACACCCCCGAGCUUCCUUCAAGGGCUUCCAAGAAGGCGACAAGGAGAAGGUGGGUUCCCCACCCUCUCAGCAGCCAUCCCUGCCGAUGAGCAAGCUGGCAGCACGGGAACCGGACACUGGGAGACCAAAGUCGCAAGGGAGUGACUGAGGGGGACCCUGCUGGCCUGACAAUGCCCAGAGCAGCUCGGUGCAGCCGCCCGGUCGAGGGCUGGCUCCCUGGUGCUAGAGUCACACCGGCCUCGUUUCUCAAAACGCUUGCUCCACCUCGGAGUUCGGCCACCUCUCCCCCGCCUGCCCCCCGAGGUCGCCGGCCGCCUUCCCGGACCCCUGCCUGCAUCGCGCCCCCCCCGGUCCCAGUGCCCGGGUGCUGGCCGGGGUACCUUAGCCUUUUCCUGCAGCGCCCGCGGCGCAGGGAGGUGGGACUGACCUCGGGCUGGAGCUGAGCAAGCAGCGUCAUCAGAGAGAAGGUCGCCAAGGGCCCGCUCUCGGUCCCCCGAGGAGCGGGGCCCGUGGGCGGCAGGGUGGAGUGAGGGAGCAGCUUGUGUAAAGAAAUCAUUGAGAAAUUUCUAGCGUAACUGGAGGGAAUUAUAAACGACAUCGACUUGGAGCAUAAACUUGCUGCCUAGUUACGAGCCACAGCAAAGGUCUCCAGGACGCGUCUUACAGAACAAACAGAAGACAAGGGCGGGAGCUUCCCGAGCGCAGGGAGGGGCGCUCUGGAUGCCCAGGGGGUGGCCCUCCUUCAUUCUAAUGCCACACGGGCCCUGCUUUCACCUGGGCCAACCUGAGGGGUCCUGGGCAACUGGGGGUCCUGACCUGGGGUCGAGGCUAGUUAAAGCACCUGGCAUGCUGACUUGGUUGUGACCUUCUGCUCGUCACACGAGUGAAAUGCAGAUUCCUGAAGUCUGUGUGGCACAGAGCCCCUGGCCCUGGUGGAUCUCCUCUGGGAGCCACUGGGGCUCUGCCUCUGGGCCCUGAGCCUCGGGAACAAGCCCCACCCGGCCCCCAGCAGCACCUGGUCCUUCGCCACCACCUCCAGGGCAUGAGUGAGCUCCGGCCAGAGGGCCUCCCUCUGCACAGGAGUAUGUGCGGAGCCUGCUUGCCUGAGGAAGGGCGGUUGCAGGUGUUGGGGUGCAGCAGGUUUGGGGGGCAAGGCUCUGGUAAGAGUUCAGCCUCCCCUCGGACUGGGAAAAUGCCGAAGACAGUGCCAGCAGCGCUUUCCACGAGGUGGUGGCUGAAUCCAGGACUGGACCUGGAGACAGCUGACCCAGGGGUCCGGGCCCCUCUCUGGGCAGGGCAAUCCCAGGCACACCCUUAAUAGCCAGAAACACCCCCAGACGUUGGCGAAUGCCCGGGAGUAAACGCCUGCCAGGGCAGCCGCUCCAGCCCCAUGAGGGGGCUGGUGUUUUCUCAAGGGCUGCUUCCUUCCAGCCAGAGUGGGAAUUGAAUCAGGACCAGCUGAAAAACUUGCAGAACCCAGUGGCAAAUCAAAACACGGGGCUCCUGGUUCGAAUAUGAUGUGAUGCCAGGUGUUGGGCCAGACGCGGGCCUGCUGGCCUUGGCCGCCUGCCCAUGAAGCUGGUUGGCGCUGAAUCAAAUACAAUGCCCCCGAAACAGUGAAUCACCAACAAGCUGCAGAAAUCUCUCAUAGCAAUGAUUUCAAUAGACUCUUUUAAACUUGGUGGCCCACGGGUGGCUGGUGUAGGGACCCCAGUCUGAGCUCCGCCCUGUGCCGAGUAGCUUCGCCUUUCCCAAAGCCUGGCCUCCACAGGACGAGAGGGGCCCAAGGCAGCGGCGUGGCAGCAGGAUGGGCCUCUCCUGGAAGCAGGUACCGUUUUAGGUGGUGUGUUCCUUGAAGGCAAGAAUGAUGUUUCACAAUAUACACCCAGUGCCUAUCACAGCUUCUUCUACUGUGGUUAAAACAAAACAAAACAAAAAAAAAAAAAAAAAAAAAAGAGCGUUACCAUAAACCCUCCGGCCAUUUCUAAGCUGCUUCAGGAAUGUAAAUAACAUUCACCUUGUUACUGAAUCAUCUCCAGAUCUUUGCAACCUCACAAAACUGCAACUGUCCCGUUAAACAACCCUUGCCACCACCUAGCCCUCAGGCCCCAGCAAACACCCUGCGAAAGAAUCUUUGCCACUUACUAAUCCAGGUGCCUCAUAAGAGUGGAAUGACACAGUCCUUGGGGUUUUUUGUAAAUGUACAUUUUUGGGUAACUUUUACUUCGCUUAAUGGCCUCAAAAUCUCUCCACGUUGCAGCACAUCGCAGAAAUCCCCCCUUUUUAUUUGUCGUGGUCACUCCUAUUAUCUUUCUUCUAGUUUGUUGACAUACAGUGUUCGGUAGGCUUAAGGCGUGUGGCACAAGGAGGUGACCCGCCCGCCUCAUGAAAUGACCGUCACGGUAAGUUUACUGGCCACCCGCGUGUCACACAGCUUCAAAGCCAAAGAGAAAGACCUUUGUGCCUGUGAUGAGAACUCUUUGGCGCCUCCGGCCGUGCUACUUCUAUCAGUGCCUGUGUGGUACGUCCUGUCGCGAGCACUUACCCGUCUUAGAACUGGAAGUUUGUACCUUCAGAUGAACCGCACCCAACCCUCUCUCCCCUCACCCCUGGGGACCCACAAAUCCAAUCUCUUUUUUAGGCGUUCGUUCGUUUGCUUUUGAAGCCCUUCCUUGCUCCACCUCCAGAAUGAGUCCACUGCACAUACGCGCCGCCUUUUGCUUAUCCAUCCACUUGUCUCCGGACCCUGGAGGCGCUGCCAUGGUUCAGCCGUCACGUUGCUCUGAACAUGGGUGUACAACCAGUCGCUUUGACGCCGCCACCCCAUUUUCCACAGCAUCCGCACCGUCUUUCAGCCCGCCUACAGCGCACAGUCCGCCUCUCCAGCUCCUCAACGUUCUCACCAACACGUGCUGUUUUCUGCUGUUUUUAUAUUAACUAUCCUAAUAAGUGCGAGGUGAUCUUAUGGUGGAUUUGAUUUGCAUUUUCCUCAUGAUUAGUGAUAUUGAGCAUCUGGUUUUUUUGUUUGGUUUUGGUUUUUUCUGUUUGGUUUUAUUUUGCUUUUUAGGGCCACAGCCACGGCAUAUGGAGGUUCCUAGGCUAGGGGUCCAAUCGGAGCUGCAGCUGCAGGCCACAGCCACAGCCACAGCCACAGAACAUCAGAUCUGCCACCUACACCACAGCUCAUGGCCACGCUGGAUCCUUAACCCACUGAGUGAGGCCAGGGAUCGAACCCCCAACCUCCUGGUUCUUAGUCGGAUUCAUUUCUGCUGCACCACGAUGGGAACUGUGCUAUUGAGCAUCUGUUCAUGUGUCUGUUGGCCAU